rnacentral:lncRNA from 10 species
UAGCAGGAAACAAAGGGCACAUUCAAACAGGAUACCUGGAGAAAAUUUAACAAAGGCAAUAUAUACAAAGGUGUGGGCAGCAUCAAGGAAAACCAACAGGAAUGAUACACCAUAUACACAUAACCUGAAGAAUCACUGGGAGGAGGAUUCUCAAGUAAUACACCAUGGCCAUGGCAGUUUGACUACAUCAAAAACUUUCAUGGAAAGAGGCACAUGUGAAGAAGAAGUGAGGCCCUCAGUUUAGCCAGCAUCAACAUGCUAGCCAUAUAAACCACCUUGGAAAUGAAGACUCCUGCCCCGAUCAAGCCUUCAGAUGAGUGCAGCCCUAGCCAACAUAUGGUUGCAACUGACUGAGAGUCCACCAAGUGAGAACUGUCUAGUGGAGCCCUUCCUGAAUUUCUAACCAACAGAGCCCUAAGCGAGAAUAAAUAGUUAUUGUUAUAAGCCA